UACGAAGGGGGCUAGCGUUGCUCGGAAUCACUGGGCGUAAAGGGUGCGUAGGCGGGUCUUUAAGUCAGUGGUGAAAGCCUGCAGCUUAACUGUAGAAUUGCCAUUGAAACUGAUUGUCUCGAGUGCGGUUGAGGUCACUGGAAUGUAUCAUGUAGCGGUGAAAUGCUUAGAUAUGAUACAGAACACCAAUUGCGAAGGCAGGUGACUAAGCCGUAACUGACGCUGAUGCACGAAAGCGUGGGGAUCAAACAGG
rnacentral:rRNA from 1 species